CAAUAGCGUAUAUUAAAGUUGUUGCGGUUAAAAAGCUCGUAGUUGGAUUUCUGUUGAGGACGGCCGGUCCGCACUAUGUGCGUGUAUCUGGUUCGGCCUCGGCAUCCUCUUGAGGAACGUUUCUGCGCUUGAUUGCGUGGAGCGGUAUUCAAGACUUUUACUUUGAGGAAAUUAGAGUGUUCACGGCAGGCAAGCGCCUUGAAUAUGUUAGCAUGGAAUAAUAAUAUAGGAUCUUGGUUCUAUUUGUUGGUUUCUAGGGCUAAGGUAAUGAUUAAUAGGGAUAAUUGGGGGCAUUUGUAUUAACUCGUCAGAGGUGGAAUUCUUGGAUUGAGUUACGACAAACUACUGCGAAAGCAUUUGCCAAGGAUGUUUUCAUUGA
rnacentral:rRNA from 1 species